GAUGAACGCUAGCUACAGGCUUAACACAUGCAAGUCGAGGGGCAGCAUGGUCUUAGCUUGCUAAGGCCGAUGGCGACCGGCGCACGGGUGAGUAACACGUAUCCAACCUGCCGUCUACUCUUGGACAGCCUUCUGAAAGGAAGAUUAAUACAAGAUGGCAUCAUGAGUCCGCAUGUUCACAUGAUUAAAGGUAUUCCGGUAGACGAUGGGGAUGCGUUCCAUUAGAUAGUAGGCGGGGUAACGGCCCACCUAGUCUUCGAUGGAUAGGGGUUCUGAGAGGAAGGUCCCCCACAUUGGAACUGAGACACGGUCCAAACUCCUACGGGAGGCAGCAGUGAGGAAUAGUGGUCAAUGGGCGAGAGCCUGAACCAGCCAAGUAGCGUGAAGGACGACUGCCCUAUGGGUUGUAAACUUCUUUUAUAAAGGAAUAAAGUCGGGUAUGGAUACCCGUUUGCAUGUACUUUAUGAAUAAGGAUCGGCUAACUCCGUG
rnacentral:rRNA from 1 species